rnacentral:tRNA from 1 species
UGGCUCAGUUGGUAGAGCAUGGCGUUGCAAACCCAGGGUUGUGGGUUCGAUUCCCAU